AUUGAACGCUGGCGGCAGGCCUAACACAUGCAAGUCGAGCGAGCGGCGGACGGGUGAGUAAUGUAUGGGGAUCUGCCCGAUAGAGGGGGAUAACUACUGGAAACGGUGGCUAAUACCGCAUACUAUCGGAUGAACCCAUAUGGGAUUAGCUAGUAGGUGGGGUAACGGCUCACCUAGGCGACGAUCCAUAGCUGGUCUGAGAGGAUGAUCAGCAACACGGGGACUGAGACACGGCCCAGACUCCUACGGGAGGCAGCAGUGGGGAAUAUUGGACAAUGGGCGCAAGGCUGAUGCAGCCAUGCCGCGUGUAUGAAGAAGGCUUUCGGGUUGUAAAGUUCUUUCAUCGGGGAGGCGUUACCCGCACAAGAAGCACCGGCUAACUCCGUGCCAGCAGCCGCGGUAAUUC
rnacentral:rRNA from 1 species